AUGCAUCCAGCUGCAGCCCCGCAGACUCACUUUUUGCUAGACACCAGUGGCUGGAUGGACAGCAGACGUCAUUUCCAUAUCGUCAUUCACUUUUCAAUUUUGACUCGCCAUGCAGAUGUCAGCGGACGGUACAGAAAGUGCACAAGUGGGAGAGAGUGGAGGGGACGGCGUCAGAAAGGACCGAGCGCUGGGACACUUUCAAGGAUCACCCAAAGCACAACCACACUGUAUACACGAGGCUGCUGGUUCUAACAUUUUAGAGUGCCCUGCGGUAGAAAUCUCAUUCUGCAUUCCCCACGGUAAAGAAGAUACAGUCCGGGGGGGUUCCCGUUAGAAAUCAACUGGUUGAAGGUUCCCUGCUCGUACUGUGCAACACAUUUUCACUGCACAAAUGUACACAACUCUUGUAAUAAGACACAUUACUAAAACAUGUUUUUGACAGAAACUGUAGUUUUCCACCGAAAUAAAAGAUCCACUGGUUUCAGUCAUAACGGUACAAGGGUUUGUCUUGUAAGUGCUGCAAAAAAUAUGCAUUUAUAUGCCAGAUUAUUUUACAAAAACCUUUAAAUAUUAUUGUAUUUGGAUUGUUCUACUACAUGUUUUUAGCAAUACCUCCAUGCAUACUCUGCAUAAUAAAGUGUGGGAUUAUUUUCAUCUGUUUUAUACAGUAUGUUUCCAAAAUUAAACUGCUGUUUGACAAUUUUGAGCAUGUGGUAGUUUAUUGAAGUUGAUUGUAAAGCCAUUGCUGCCAGUAAUAAGAUUUUUAGCCUUGCAUGUACAGUGUUGAUCUAAAUGCCAACUAGGAUCUAGGUUCAUUUAUACAUGGUGCAAGGUACGACGGGGAAACAACGUCAUGUUAUCAACGUUGAUUAACUUUUCAAAAUCAACACCUCAUUCAGCUUUCAUCCCAGGUCUGCAGCACGACCCUAAUUCAUCCGUAAUGCAGGUAAGACGGUGAAACAGCGUCGCGAUUUCAACGGUGAAUCCAUGUCGUGAUUUCAACGUUGAUCCAAUUUGCAAAAUCGAAAGGUAAUUCAACGUUGAUUUAACGUCGGGAUUUCAACAGUGAAUCAGCGUCGUGAUUUCAACCGUACAUCAACGUCACGAUUUCAACGGUGAAUCAACUUCGUGAUUUCAACGUUGAUCCCAUUUGCAAAAUCGAAAGGUAAUUCAACGUUGAUUCAACCAUGGUACCUGACGUUUCAACGUAGAAUCAACGGUGAAAUGCCGGCUGGGGUAGAUCCUUUGUUUUGGAGAGAGAUUAGUACCUCUACAUUAGCAAUCUUUUACCGUUCUGUUGUACCAUUUUCUAAAUGUGGUUGGGUGAGGAAAGUCCAAGUUGAAGGUCUUUUUGACAUACUUGUAUGCCUUAAAUCUGCAGUUUAAGGACAAAUGUCUUAUGGGCUGGGUGGUAUUUUGUAUGACAACAUUGAAAUCUUAUAGGGAUCUCAAUUGAACAAUUGUUUUUAUUGUUCUUCUCCUGUUUUUAUUUAUUUUACUGGAUUGCUUGUGAUUGCUGAGCAGACUUCCAGUGAGAGUCUUUGGACUCAUUUGUUGAGGAGUCUGAGAAGCAUCAGUUGUGGUGUGGGGAAUGUCCUCACUCCAAGUUCAACAUGGCCCCAAUUUCGCUUAAAACUUAUAAUUAUGUGGGUUUGUGUGAUAAAUUAUAUUGAAAAUUAACUUAAUCUUUAAUGUGCAGCUUUUAUUCUUGUGUAUACCUCUAAAUUAAAGAGAACAACAUAGGCAACCCUACUUUCAAAGACGGCCUUUUGCUCUAACUCUUAUGGAGGCUCUUAAGAAAAGUUUGGGUAAGUAGUUGACACAAUAAACCUACAAAGCUAUCAUUGUGUUAAAGAGUAGUUUACUCUCUUCUAAUUUUAAUUCUAAUCUCAAUCCCGACUCCUCCCUCACCAUAUAUGGAGCUUAAAACGCCUAGUUUUACUAUUCUUAACCUCCGCUGCAUAUCAUUUCCAUACAUCUCAUCCACAUUCCCAUCCACAUGACACCAUCUUUAACACCAUCAAAGGUACAAGACAUAUGAGUUGUGUACUAAAUUAAUAUUAUAAUGCUAUAUGUGCCAUACACAUUUCUACUGUUAAAAAUAAUCAGAAUCAGAAUGAGCUUUAUUGCCAGGUAUGUUAACACAUACAAGAAAUUUGUUGACUACAGACAUUAAAGUGAAGUGACAUUCAGCCAAGUAUGGUGACCCAUACUCAGAAUUUGUGCUCUGCAUUUAACCCAUCCAAAGUGCAACACACACAGAGCAGUGAACACGCACACACACUGUGAACACACACCCGGAGCAGUGGGCAGCCAUUUAUGCUGCGGCGCCUGGGUAGCAGUUGGGGGUUCAGUGCCUUGCUCAAGGGCACCUAAGUCGUGGUAUUGAAGGUGGAGAGAGAGCUGUACAUGCACUCCCCCCACCCACAAUUCCUGCCGACCCAGGACUCGAACUUACAACCUUUCUAUUGAGAGUCCGACUCUCUAACCAGUAGGCCACAGCUCCCCCCCCCCCCCCCUUUUUUUUAUUUUUUUUAUAAGUAGGUGUGUUAGAUAAAUAAGUGUAUGUGUAUGUAAAUAGUGUAGUGUGUUCCACAGUUAUCACUUUUGUCAUUUAGUCCUGUAAUUUUUUGGGUUUCUUUGGCAUGAGGAUGAUGGUGGAGUGUUUGAAACAUGAAGGGACUACACACAGCUCCAGCAAUCUGUUGAAGAUCUGAGUGAAGAUGGGGGCCAGCUGGGCAGCACAGGAUUUCAGACAGGCUGGUGUAACACAAUCUGGGCCUGGUGCAUUUUUUUCCUUUUCUGCUUCUGUGAGACAUUGUCCCCCUUCCUGUAAGCAUCUUCUUUGGCCUAAUGGAGCUGUCUGAGUUUUGCAGGGAAGCACUGUUUGUCAUUGUGGUAAGUUAGAUGAGUCCUGGUAGGAAUACACAUAUCCUUACAGAAACUGAUAUAAGAUGUUACAGUCUCUCUGAGUUCAUCCAGAUCGGUGGCAGCAGUCAAAACUCAAAACAAGAUUGUAAUCUGCUCUGCUUCAUUAGUCCAUCUUUUUACUGUCCUUAAUACAGGUUUAGCUGAUUUAUUUUCUGCCUGUAGGUCAGUAUAAGAUGAACCAGACAGUGAUCAGAAUGUCCCAAAGCUGCACGUGGAUUGUGGUGUAACAGUGAUCCAAUAUAUUACUGUCUCUAGUGGGACAUGUGAUGUGCUGUCUGUAUUUUGGCAGUUCAUGGGAGAGAUUGGCUUUAUUAAAGUCCACGAGAAUGAUUAAAACAGAGUCCGGGUGUUGUUUUUUUGUCUCUGUGAUCUGAUCAGCCAGUUUCUGUAAAGCUGAGCUCAUGAAUUACUCCCGCGGCGAAUAGAACGGCUUGCAGUUGACAAAUAGCACUUCUAGAUCAGCAUAUCUUCCACAGC
rnacentral:lncRNA from 1 species